rnacentral:rRNA from 1 species
UUGGAGGGCAAGUCUGGUGCCAGCAGCCGCGGUAAUUCCAGCUCCAAUAGCGUAUAUUAAAGUUGUUGCAGUUAAAAAGCUCGUAGUUGAAUUUCGAGAUCAAAUUGUUGGUCGUGCCUCGGUACGUACUGGCAUUAUUGAUUUCUCCUUUCUGAAGAACCUUGAUGUCAUUAAUUUGGUGUCUUGGGGAAUCAGGACCGUUACUUUGAAAAAAUUAGAGUGUUUAAAGCAGGCUCACGCUUGAAUACAUUAGCAUGGAAUAAUGAAAUAGGACGUUUGAUUCUAUUUUGUUGGUUUCUAGGAUCGACGUAAUGAUUAAUAGGGAUAGUUGGGGGCAUUAGUAUUCAAUUGUCAGAGGUGAGAUUCUUGGAUUUAUUGAAGACUAACUACUGCGAAAGCAUUUGCCAAGGAUGUUUUCAUUAAUCAAGAACGAAAGUUAGGGGAUCGAAGACGAUCAGAUACCGUCGUAGUCUUAACCAUAAACUAUGCCGACUAGGGAUCGGAUGAUGUUAAUUUUUUAAUGACUCAUUCGGCGCCUUACAGGAAACCAAAGUGUUUGGGUUC